GUGGGGAAUAUUGCACAAUGGGCGCAAGCCUGAUGCAGCAACGCCGCGUGAGGGAUGACGGCCUUCGGGUUGUAAACCUCUUUUAGUAGGGAAGAAGCGAAAGUGACGGUACCUGCAGAAAAAGCACCGGCUAACUACGUGCCAGCAGCCGCGGUAAUACGUAGGGUGCAAGCGUUGUCCGGAAUUAUUGGGCGUAAAGAGCUCGUAGGCGGCUUGUCGCGUCUGCUGUGAAAACCCGAGGCUCAACCUCGGGCCUGCAGUGGGUACGGGCAAGCUAGAGUGCGGUAGGGGAGAUUGGAAUUCCUGGUGUAGCGGUGGAAUGCGCAGAUAUCAGGAGGAACACCGAUGGCGAAGGCAGAUCUCUGGGCCGUAACUGACGCUGAGGAGCGAAAGCAUGGGGAGCGAACAGGAUUAGAAACCCCUGUAGUCC
rnacentral:rRNA from 1 species